GGUGGCUUUUCAGUUUCAUAUGGCAGGCCUGAUCAGUCAAUUCAGGAAAGGAAUUCAUAUUUCAUUACAGGACAAGAACGUUAAAACAUCACAAAGAAAAUAAAGAAUGUUAUUGCAAAAUUGCAAUCCCAUUCAGCGUCACUAAACAAGGAGAUCGAACAGUCUACAAGGAGAGAUUAAGAUUUAAACCAUCGUCUUCCUCUUGCUGUUUCUUGUCUUCUUUCUGGUUACGAGGACAAGGAAAGAUUAGAGGAAGCUUUCGAAACUGAAUUUCCUCGUUGAAAUCUUCCCAUUCGAAAGAAGGUACCCAACUAGGCUGCCCUUCAUUUAACCUUCUAACCUUCUUCUUUCUCUCCUUGUCUACCAAUUCUUGAUCUUUUCUUCGGUUACGGGCCUCCUGAAACCUUCUAAUCAAAGCGAAAAACUCCUCCACCUUCUGGUCUUCAUGCUCAGCAUCUUCACCAUUGGAAACACAUCCAACUUUCUCAUUUUCCAUGCCUGGUUUGACCACCGGGAGUAGAAAAGGGUGGCAGAGUGACGCGACGCGUUCAACUUUGUUGGUGGUGUAUAGGC
rnacentral:misc_RNA from 1 species